UCAGACGAUGCGUCAUGCAUAUCAAUAAGCGGAGGAAAAGAAACUAACAAGGAUUCCCUCAGUAACGGCGAGUGAAGCGGGAAGAGCUCAAAUUUGAAAUCUUGAAAGGUCACCUUUCACGAAUUGUAGUUUAAAGAAGUGUUUUCUGUUACGAUCGUAAUAUAAGUUCUUUGGAAUAGGACAUCACAGAGGGUGAGAAUCCCGUCUAUGAUUGCGAUUUGUAGCUUUGUGAUACACUUUCAAAGAGUCGGGUUGUUUGGGAAUGCAGCCCAAAACGGGAGGUAAAUUUCUUCUAAGGCUAAAUAUUGGCGAGAGACCGAUAGCGAACAAGUACCGUGAGGGAAAGAUGAAAAGAACUUUGAAAAGAGAGUUAAAUAGUACGUGAAAUUGUCAAAAGGGAAGCGUUUAACACCAGUGUUGUUUUCUGAAAAUCAACCUCUGUUAGCUUUAUGCAUGUUUGUUUAGACCUAAUCAGCUAUCUUGCAUGUUCUAUUGUUUGCAGUGGUGCACUUUUCAGUUUACAGGUCAACAUCAGUUUUUUUACCGUAAAAAAGUUAAAGAAAGGUAGCUCAUGGCUCCGGUCGUGAGUGUUAUAGUCUUUUUCCUAUGCGGUAGGAGAGACUGAGGUCUGCAGUGUAGGCUAUUCGGCUAGAUACUCAGGUGCUAUGUGAUACCAUUUCAUAAACAACUUGUUGAUUAUGUUUUGUCUAUUGCAUACUCGCUUGUACUAUCAUACCUACGCUUAGGAUGUUGAAGACUCUACAGAGAUA
rnacentral:rRNA from 1 species